AAUGCGCCUGUAUCGCGCUCCCGCGCGGAUCCUAGUAGCGUCUGUAACGCCGUGCGCGGGCGAGGGUGGGAGUGCGCGCGCGAGGGGCGCGCUCUUGAAUGCAGGCGGCGCGCUCGGUGGCGCGCAUGUGCAUGUGUGCGGGCUGUCGGGCUGCCCCGAGCCCGCCGCGAGCGGGUCUGCUCCAGGUGGCGGGCGGCGGGAGCGAGGUGAGGCUGCGGG
rnacentral:other from 1 species